rnacentral:rRNA from 1 species
GGAUCAACGCUGGCGGCGUGCCUAUACAUGCAGUCGAGCGAACAGAUAAGGAGCUUGCUCCUUUCCCGUUAGCGGCGGACGGGUGAGUAACACGUGGGUAACCUACCUAUAAGACUGGAAUAACUCCGGGAAACCGGGGCUAAUGCCGGAUAACAUUUAGAACCGCAUGGUUCUAAAGUGAAAGAUGGUUUUGCUAUCACUUAUAGAUGGACCCGCGCCGUAUUAGCUAGUUGGUAAGGUAACGGCUUACCAAGGCAACGAUACGUAGCCGACCUGACAGGGUGAUCGGCCACACUGGAACUGAGACACGGUCCAGACUCCUACGGGAGGCAGCAGUAGGGAAUCUUCCGCAAUGGGCGAAAGCCUGACGGAGCAACGCCGCGUGAGUGAUGAAGGUCUUCGGAUCUUAAAACUCUGUUAUUAGGGAAGAACAAAUGUGUAAGUAACUGUGCACGUCUUGACGGUACCUAAUCAAAAAGCCACGGAUAACUACGUGCCAUCAGCCGCGGGUAAUACGUAGGUGGCAAGCGUUAUCCGGAAUUAUUGGGCGUAAAGCGCGCGUAGGCGGUUUCUUAAGUCUGAUGUGAAAGCCCACAGCUCACCCGUGUAGGGUCAUUGGAACUGGGAAACUUGAGUGCAUAAGAGGAAAGGGGAUUCCUGUGUACCGUGGAAAUGCGCAAAAAUAUGGAAGAACCCCAGUGGCCAAAGGGAUU